UGGGGAAUAUUGCACAAUGGGCGAAAGCCUGAUGCAGCAACGCCGCGUGAGUGAUGAAGGUCUUCGGAUUGUAAAGCUCUGUCUUUUGGGACGAUAAUGACGGUACCAAAGGAGGAAGCCACGGCUAACUACGUGCCAGCAGCCGCGGUAAUACGUAGGUGGCGAGCGUUGUCCGGAUUUACUGGGCGUAAAGGGUGCGUAGGCGGAUGUUUAAGUGAGAUGUGAAAUACCCGGGCUUAACUUGGGUGCUGCAUUUCAAACUGGAUAUCUAGAGUGCAGGAGAGGAGAAUGGAAUUCCUAGUGUAGCGGUGAAAUGCGUAGAGAUUAGGAAGAACACCAGUGGCGAAGGCGAUUCUCUGGACUGUAACUGACGCUGAGGCACGAAAGCGUGGGUAGCAAACAGGAUUAGAUACCCUGGUAGUCCACGCCGUAAAAC
rnacentral:rRNA from 1 species